UCCCAGUGUAGCGGUGAAAUGCGUAGAUAUUGGGAAGAACAUCGGUGGCGAAGGCGUGCUACUGGACCGUAACUGACACUCAGGGACGAAAGCUAGGGGAGCGAAAGGGAUUAGAUACCCCUGUAGUCCUAGCUGUAAACGAUGGAAACUAGGUGUGGCUUGUAUCGACCCGAGCCGUGCCGUAGCUAACGCGUUAAGUUUCCCGCCUGGGGAGUACGCACGCAAGUGUGAAACUCAAAGGAAUUGACGGGGGCCCGCACAAGCGGUGGAGUAUGUGGUUUAAUUCGAUGCAACGCGAAGAACCUUACCAGGGCUUGACAUGUCGCGAAUCUCGGUGAAAGCUGAGAGUGCCUUCGGGAGCGCGAACACAGGUGGUGCAUGGCUGUCGUCAGCUCGUGUCGUGAGAUGUUGGGUUAAGUCCCGCAACGAGCGCAACCCUUAUUUUUAGUUGCCAGCAUUAAGAUGGGCACUCUAGAAAGACUGCCGGUGACAAACCGGAGGAAGGUGAGGACGACGUCAAGUCAGCAUGCCCCUUACGCCCUGGGCUACACACGUACUACAAUGGUUGGGACAAAGGGCAGCGACUCCGCAAGGAAUAGCGAAUCUCAUCAAACCCAGCCUCAGUUCAGAUUGCAGGCUGCAACUCGCCUGCAUGAAGGAGGAAUCGCUAGUAAUCGCAGGUCAGCAUACUGCGGUGAAUUCGUUCCCGGGCCUUGUACACACCGCCCGUCACACCAUGGAAGCUGGUCACGCCCGAAGUAGUUACCCUAACCUUUCGAGGAGGGGGAUUCCUAAGGCAGGGCUAGUGACUGGGGUGAAGUCGUAACAAGGUAGCC
rnacentral:rRNA from 1 species